GAAUUUUGGACAAUGGGCGAAAGCCUGAUCCAGCAAUGCCGCGUGCAGGAUGGAGUCCUUCUGGUUGUACACUGCUUUUGUACGGAACGAAAAGCUUUGGGUUAAUACAAUGGCGUCAUGACGGUACCGUAACAACCAGCACCGGCUAACUACGUGCCAGCCGCCUCGGUAAUACGUAGGGUGCAAGCGUUCAUCUGAAUUACUGGGGGUAAAGCGUGCGCAGGCGGUGGUGUAAGACAGAGGUGAAAUCCCCGGGCUCAACCUGGGAACUGCCUUUGUGACUGCAAGGCUAGAGUACUGCAGGGGGGGGUGGAAUUCUGCGUGUAGUAGUGAAAUGCGUAGAUAUGCGGAGGAACACCGAUGGCGGAGGCAACCCCCUGGGCCUGUACUGACGCUCAUGCACGAAAGCGUGGGGAGCAAACAGG
rnacentral:rRNA from 1 species